GGAUAACCUGCCCUAAGGAAGGGGAUACCCCCGGGAAACUGGGGACAAUACCCUAUAGGUUACAGAUGCUGGAAUGCUCUGUACCCGAAAGUUCCGGCGCCUUAGGAUGGAUCUGCGGCCGAUUAGGUUGUUGUCGGGGUAACGGCCCAACAAGCCAGUAAUCGGUACGGGUUGUGGGAGCAAGAGCCCGGAGUUGGAUUCUGAGACACGAAUCCAGGCCCUACGGGGCGCAGCAGGCGCGAAAACUUUACAAUGCGGGCAACCGUGAUAAGGGAACCUCGAGUGCCUGUAUAUGCAGGCUGUCUGGGUGUCUAAAACACACCUAAAGAAAGGGCCGGGCAAGACCGGUGCCAGCCGCCGCGGUAAUACCGGCGGCUCGAGUGGUGGCCACUUUUAUUGGGCUUAAAGCGUUCGUAGCUGGGUUAUUAAGUCCCUUGGGAAAUCCGACGGCUUAACCGUCGGGCGUCUAAGGGAUACUGGCAAUCUUGGAACCGGGAGAGGUGAGGGGUACUUCGGGGGUAGGAGUGAAAUCCUGUAAUCCUCGAGGGACCACCUGUGGCGAAGGCGCCUCACCAGAACGGCUUCGACAGUGAGGGACGAAAGCUGGGGGAGCAAACCGGAUUAGAUACCCGGGUAGUCCCAGCUGUAAACGAUGCGCGUUAGGUGUAUCGGUGACCACGAGUCACCGAGGUGCCGAAGGGAAACCGUGAAACGUGCCGCCUGGGAAGUACGGUCGCAAGGCUGAAACUUA
rnacentral:rRNA from 1 species